GGUUGUGAGCGGCAGAAGUGAAACUUCGGGGACCGGGGGAGUUCCCGACACUAAGCUUCCCCGCCCGGACAUUGCCCUCGGGCCUGGGGCCCUGAGAGCCACGCCCUCCGGGGGACCUGGGGCUUUGCCCAGACCCCUCUCCUCCUUGGAGACCGUGGUGUCACGCUGUCUGCCAGAGUCACGGCCCAGGGUCUAUGUGGUGGGUGUGAUCUGUACUCCAAACAAAUGAACUAUUGCAAUGUUGCAGAAUGUUCUGUGACAGGAGACCACUAGGCUCAGAGCUCAGGAGGAUGUCAAGCGGCAAUGUGACUUUUCUACUCAAACCACAGUAAAUCCAUCUUGCAGCAUAUAUUUCAAGGCCUCCAGUGGAUCCGGAUCAGCCAGACUCUGGAGGUUCAACAAUGAGCAAGAGUAAGACCCUGGCCAUGUGACACCAGCACUGUCCCGAGGGAGACAGGCACUGAGCAGAAAUGCCGAAGAUGAACAUGAAUCACCACUGAGCUGAGCUCAUGAGCAUGAAAGCAGAUAGCAGGACAGCCAACAGGGCCUGACCACUGUAUCAACAACAGCUACAGGAUGUAAAGAUAUAUGGCACAGGAAACAAAAGCAGAAUCAUAUACAACUAUAUAUAAUCAUAGAACAAGUGGGAGCUCUUGGAAUUAAAAAUACGUUCACAGAAAUGAAUAAUUCAGUGGAUGACUUUUAAGAUUAAAGCUGUACUCCCGCUAAGUAGUGCAAAUGGAAAAGUGAUGGCAAGCAGAAGACCUGUUGCUCUAUUAAUCACAGAAUUCCAGCAAGUUCAUAAUAUAAGUUUCCCAAAAAGUGGAAAGUAGGAAAGGAUAAAAAAUAUUUCAAGACAAUUUCUCAAAAUUUAAAUACCAAAGUUUGAAAAUCAUUAUAAAAUUCUUACUUUAGUAGAUGACAUCUGACCCACACCAACACAUCACAGUGGAAUUUCAGAAAGAGGGUGGAAAGGAAGAGACCUUGAAAACUGCAACAGGCAACAAACACAGGCCUGGAGGCUGGGAGACAUUGAAGCAAUGCCUCCAAAGCCAGAGGAAGAGUAUUUCCAACACAGAUUCUCUAUGAUGUCAUUGUGAACAAGGGGGAGGGUGGCCUAAAGACACUUCAGAUAUUUAGAGAUGCAGAGCUUUACUCUCCAUAUUCCUUCUUCAGGGUACUAGUAGGCAAAGUGGGGAAAAAAUGAUGAAGGAAUGAGAAACCCAAACAGGAAAAUACACGGGAUCCAGGAAACAGUGGAGCCAGAAGAGGAGAGGCCCAGGGCCACCCAGGAUGAGGUGCAGGAGAUCCAGAUGUCAGCCCUGCCCCAGGUGUGCAGCAUCCAGUCCAUGUGGGCAGCACUGAGGGCUGUGGACCCCGUGUCAGCAGAGGUGAUGGUGGUGAUAUAGCUGAUGUGCUCAAAUGUAUUCUCUCAGGUUUACCCUGGGGAAGUUUGGGGAUGAUUUAGUAAUAAAUACAACAGAAACAAAGCAAA